GUCCGCGGUGAUCCAGAGCCGGAGCCGGAGCCGCCGGGGAGGAUGCGGAGGGAGAGUGGACGCCUGCUUCACGCUAUUUUCUAUUUGAUCAUUUGGAUUGAACACAUUCUUCAAUCUGAGGAGUCACAGAUCAGGGGAGUACUGGGGUCUACAGUCACUCUCCCCUGCACGUACAGCGGUAGUGUACUGUACACAACCUGCUGGGGUCG